AUAAAUGGUCAGGAAUUAAUUAUAGGGUGAAAUAGAAUAUAAUUUUUGGUAGAAAAGGAAAGAGGGGGGCGAAUUUUACAAACCCAGAGAAGCAGACACUCACCGUAAUGGUUGAAAAAUAUAAAAAUAUUGUGGAAAAUAAAAGGAUAGAUGCUGUUACCACGAAACAAAAGCUCAAGCUUGGGAGAAAAUUUCCCAAGAUUUCAACGUGAAGGGAAUUUCUCCGAAAUAUCGUCCCGCCGACAAAUUAAAAGUUUUGUGGCACAAUCUGAAACGGAAAGCUCGAAAGCAUUUCAGAAAUUUACGUCAAGAAACAUUUAAAACCGGUGGUGGAAGCAAUCCUCUAAAAGAAGAUCCUCUUGCAAUGCAAGUUAAUGAAAUAAUUGACAACACAGCUGAGCUAAUGGAGAAUGCUUACGACAACGACGCACUGUCAGAAAACAAUGACGAGGUGACGGGAAGCUUUGAAGGGAUUUAUGAGGAGAUUCAAAUUGACGGAAAUUCCAUUGUGCAACCAACAAUCGAAGAAUCUGAG